CUCUCUCCUGUCAUUCAGGCAUCUCCUGCUGCUGACUCUAGAACUCAUCUCUCUCCUGUCAUUCAGAUCAACAUGAAGAUCUAUAUCCUUGUUCUGCUGCUCUCUGCUGCUCUGCUGUUCGUGGGACCAGAAACUGCUGAUGCAACAUCGAUUGUCAUCAAGAUUAAGAAUUAUAAGAAGACUGGCCGUAAUAAAGGUUUGCCAGCAUCUGCAGCACCUGCAGCACCUGCAGAACCUGCAGCACCUGCAGAACCUGCAGCACCUGCGUAAUCUGUUACUACCUGAUGAAUCUGAGUAAUCUGUUACUACCUGAUGUAUCUGAGUAAUCUGUUACUACCUGAUGAACCAGAGUAAUCUAUUACUACCUGAUGAAUCAGAGUAAUCUGUUACUACCUGAUGAACCAGAGUAAUCUGUUACUACCUGUUGAAUAAAACACAUGUGACAGUUUAA